AGAUAAUGAUUUUGUGAUUUUUGUGACUGCAAAAAAAUGUCUUUCAGUCACAGGAAAUGUAAAUUAAUUUGUAAAAAUUUGCUUGGUAUUAGGAUGAUUGUAUGUAUGUAAAACAGUGGUUGACAUUUAAACUGUGAUCAUCUCAAAGCAUGUAAAUAUGGAAUGUACUUUUUAGAGUUAAAUGUUUUUCUUCAAAAAGAAGUUGCACCAUAGUUUUUG
rnacentral:lncRNA from 1 species